rnacentral:lncRNA from 1 species
GGGGAGGGACGGACGGCGGCGGAGGUGGGGCCGGCGGGCUGGCGGGCGUGCAGCUGCCGCCGGCGUCGCGGGGCUCCAGGCUGCGGGGCGGACGUAGCGCCGAGCGAUCCACCGCGGAGCCACGCGAGGCCGCCCGAGCCCCAGCCCCGGCUCCGGUCCCGGUCCCCGCUCGGAGCCCCGAGCGAGCGCCGCAGCCUCGCGCCGCGGUUCCCCGUACGCGCCGCCACCGCCGGGAAGGCAGCCGGCGUCGGGCAAGUUGCGAGCGCGCCCCUCCGACCAGGAAAGUUUCCCCCGGCCGCUGGCGGGAGUUGGCGCGGGGUCCAGCCGCCGCAGCUGGAAGAGUGUAUCCAGAAGCUACUGUCAGAAGGACACUGUAAGAGAACCUUGGCACCCCUGGACCCAAAGGAAAAGACACCAGUGGAAGAGGUGAGCAUCUCCUGGACAGCGUCAAGCUUCAGAUGAGCUGAGCUUCUAAUACUACCAUCAAAGCAACUGGAACCCCUUGAAUUUGAUUUCUGGAGACGCGGGCAUAAUCCUUUUGCAGACGUCUCAACGCUGGCUCUCCAGGUAACGGGGUUUAGGCUUGUUCAGCAAGGGGAUUUUCGCUACUUUUGUUGUUGCUGUUGUUGUUGCUAAGGGUGACCAUCAGCAGGGCACCUGUCAUUCUCUAUCAUUCAUUCUCUUUCAUGCAUUAGUGUCUGUCUCCCCCAUCACACCAAAGGUGCAUGGGCAGGAGUGUAAGGGGUGCAGAUAGUGUGAGUGGAUCUGAGGCAAGGUUGCUGGGGUUUCACUAGAUUAGCCAAAAAGAUAACCCUCGGA